AAUGAAUAAUGCUAAUGUUUGUUGAAAUCUUGAAGCCCUGACUUUCUGUUCAGAGGACUCGAUCUCCUCUUUAACUGUGUGGGCCACUGCUAGGGCCCUGCAGCCAGCAAUCCCACAGUCUCUCCUGCUGGAUUAAGUGGCCGAUGCCUGACACGGCCUGGUAUUUCGGGUGGGGAGGUAGGAAAUAAUAAGCAGUGAUUUCAUUUGUUUCUACAAAUUACAGCUGGUGUGCUGAGUCCUUCCUUGGGGCCUUGUGUCAAGGGCUCGGGACCCUGCUGGGGCAGGGGAGGCAGCUCCUGCUCAGUUGCCAUCAGUGAUGAGUGUGACACGUGCAAUGUACAAGUCCCCUAAAUGUUUACAUGCCACGAUGAGGCAUUUUAAUAGGUAAAAAUUAAAAUCCAUACUUUUUCUGUCUUUAAAGCACAGCUCAAAAUGGCCUCUGCAGAAUAAACGGAAUGAGCUAGGUGUGGAACUCCAGGCACAGCAGUCAAUUAAGGGCUGUUCAUUAACAUUUCAAGCACUGCAGAUAGGGCAUUGUGAGAGCAGCGAUGAUGAUGUCUGCAAUGUGCUUGGCCCUUCAUAUGUGUCUGAUCCAGUUUACUUUCGGGGACAUCCGUCAUCACCAUUGGAAUCCAGACACACACCAUGAAACGAACAAAGCCUAAAGCUGACUUCGCAGAUAAGGAAACUGAACUAAAGGGCAGAAACCAAGUGAAGAGAAUCCUGGCAGGCCCAUCAGCGGCAUAGGCAGGGCCAGAAACACAGACUCAGCCUUGCAGAACUACAUUGAGAUGCAGGUGAUGUCAUUUUCUUUUAGGGUUAAGUUCGUUUAUCACCUGUGAGGAGUUUGCCUCGUGAAAGAGCAACAGAUGGGUGAACAGUAUAGAGGCCAGGUUACUCUGUGUCUUUUGUAAUUGAUGACAAAUCUAAACUGCUACACGGGGCGACAAGAGCAAAACCAGAGGCGUCCCAAUGAAGAAACGUAGAAUGAUAGGUUUUAUUUGUUGCUGAAAACCAUGCGAUAUGAAAAAUAUUAUUUUUU
rnacentral:lncRNA from 1 species